CGGAGCGUAGCGCAGCCCGGUUAGCGCACCGGUCUGGGGGACCGGGGGUCGGGAGUUCAAAUCUCCCGCUCCGACCA
rnacentral:tRNA from 1 species